rnacentral:rRNA from 1 species
CACGUAGGGGGCAAGCGUUGUCCGGAUUUAUUGGGCGUAAAGAGCUCGUAGGCGGUUCGGUAAGUCGGGUGUGAAACCUCCAGGCUCAACCCGGAGACGCCACCCGAUACUGCUGUGACUAGAGUCCGGUAGGGGAGCGUGGAAUUCCUGGUGUAGCGGUGAAAUGCGCAGAUAUCAGGAGGAACACCAGCGGCGAAGGCGGCGCUCUGGGCCGGAACUGACGCUGAGGAGCGAAAGCGUGGGGAGCAAACAGG